CAUCAUCAUUGUUUUACCCUACCUAUAGUUGGCAUCUCUUGGAAGCUUCACUUUCCUCUUCAUUUACGUUUAAAAAAAAAAAAAAAGCAUGCUUCAACCUGUCCUAUAUAUAUAUAUAUAUGAGUUCAUAUAUAGUUGAAGAUACAACACUUUGCUUCAGCCUGAAGGAUAAUACCUCCUAUGGCUCCUUCAUCAUCAACCCUUUGUUUUCUGUUUUUCUUGGGGAUAUUCAGUUCUACUUUUACGUCGUCGUUGCCAUUGACGGUCAGCUCUGUCACCGAGAUCGGGGCUCGAGUCGAGGGUUCGGGUAGGAUUAGAAGGAGGACUCUGAUGGAUAAUGGGCUUGGUUUAACUCCACAAAUGGGGUGGAACAGUUGGAAUCAUUUCCAUUGCGAUAUAAAUGAGACAUUGAUCAAAGAAACUGCUGACGCAAUGGUCUCAACUGGUCUAAGUGCCGUUGGCUACAUCUAUAUAAAUUUAGAUGAUUGUUGGGGAGAACUCAACAGAGAUUCUCAGGGAAAUUUGGUUCCUAAAGCUUCAACAUUUCCCUCUGGCAUCAAGGCUCUUGCAGAUUAUGUUCAUAGCAAAGGGCUUAAGCUUGGGAUUUACUCAGAUGCAGGGACUCAAACUUGUAGCAAGACCAUGCCUGGCUCCCUGGGACAUGAAGAACAAGAUGCAAAAACCUUUGCCUUAUGGGGAGUGGAUUACUUGAAAUAUGACAACUGUGAAGAUACCGGUGGCUUAAGCCCAAAGGAAAGGUACCCAAAGAUGAGCGAAGCAUUACUUAACUCAGGGAGGCCCAUAUUUUUCUCUUUAUGUGAAUGGGGACAAGAGGAUCCUGCAACAUGGGCACCAAGUAUAGGGAAUAGUUGGAGAACAACUGGAGACAUUGAAGAUAACUGGGACAGUAUGACGGGAAUAGCUGAUCAAAAUGACCAGUGGGCUUCGUAUGCUAAACCGGGAGCUUGGAAUGAUCCCGACAUGCUGGAAGUAGGAAACGGAGGCAUGACAACGGAAGAAGAUCGGUGCCAUUUCAGCAUAUGGGCAUUAGCUAAAGCUCCGUUGUUGAUUGGCUGUGAUGUGAGGUCUAUGGAUAAUGUGACAUUUGAAUUGGUAGCCAAUAAAGAGGUUAUUGAUGUCAAUCAAGAUAAACUUGGUGUUCAAGGUAAAAAGGUGAAGAAAGAAGGGGAUCUUGAGGCCCAUUGGCUAACAAUAUGGUAGCUGUGGUGUUAUGGAACAGAGGAUCUUCCUCAGCAAACAUCACAGCUUAUUGGUCCGAUAUAGGCCUUAAGCCAUCAACGGUUGUCGAUUCUCGAGACUUGUGGGCGCAUUCGACGGAGACGGGUGUUGAAGAUGAGAUAUCAGCGGAAGUGGGUUCUCAUGCAUGCAAAAUGUACACUUUGAAACCACUUACAAAUAGAGAUCGGAGUUGAACAAAUAGAUAUUUUGGUGAAAAGCGAGUUCAAUUAUAGCAGGCAUAAGCAGCAGUAGGACAUGUUGAGAGACCAUGCAUGUUCUUAUGUAUUGUGUGAUAUUUUCAAUGAAAAAAGAAAGACUUUUUAGUA